rnacentral:rRNA from 1 species
CGCGCAGGCGGUCUUCCAAGUCAGUGGUGAAAGCCCGGAGCUCAACUCCGGAACUGCCAUUGAAACUGUAAGACUUGAGGAUGAGAGAGGUGAGUGGAAUUCCCAGUGUAGAGGUGAAAUUCGUAGAUAUUGGGAAGAACACCGGUGGCGAAGGCGGCUCACUGGCUCAUAUCUGACGCUCAGGCGCGACAGCGUGGGGAUCAAACAGGAUUAGAUACCCUGGUAGUCCACGCCGUAAACGAUGAAUGCUAGCCGUUGGGCAGCUUGCUGUUCAGUGGCGCAGCUAACGCAUUAAGCAUUCCGCCUGGGGAGUACGGCCGCAAGGUUGAA